UGCUGGGAUUUUGGGGAGAAUAAAUGUCAAUGACUGCCUACAUCUACCUGAUUACACUUUUGGUGCAGCCAGGAGCAGAGCCAGACCCUUCUCUUCAGCAUCUACCAAACGUUACAAUGAAUGGACUCCUCUUCUCUCUGGUUUCUGUCUUCUGCUGUACUUUCUCCACUGGCCAAGGAUUUAUUUGCAAUCAUUGGCAUGUGAAGCUGGAUAAUCCUGCUUAACUGUCGCUCUUGGAUCUCUGUACAGCCAAUAAUAGGAGAUGCUUCACACAUACACGCUAUGAGGGUCCAAAAGGUAAAAAAUUGCUUCGUCUAACGUACGGAUGUGUUGACCAAUUUAAUCAACAAGAGUGUGACCGAUUUUACAUGUCAUAUAACGAGAUUCAUAUUAUCGAUUGUUGCAACACUGAGAGAUGCAAUGGAAAGCGGGCUCCCUUCCCUCCUGCUAACUGUACCAGGCCUGCCAGAGGGGCGUGAGAUGGCAAAGAUGCCCAAGUUCUUUUUUUCUCCCAACUCAUUCACUGCCUGGUUCUGCCAGUUAUUCUGGGCUUUCUUUAUCUUCUUGGAGCAGGGCUGUGAUUUACCUGAAGGUCACCUGAUGUUCUCAUGUAUUCACCUAAUUUAGUUUAAUCUCUUGAUAAGGCAGAAAAUGAAAGAAUAAACAUGC